GGGUUGUGAGGUUAAGCGACUAAGCGUACACGGUGGAUGCCCUGGCAGUCAGAGGCGAUGAAGGACGUGCUAAUCUGCGAUAAGCGUCGGUAAGGUGAUAUGAACCGUUAUAACCGGCGAUUUCCGAAUGGGGAAACCCAGUGUGUUUCGACACACUAUCAUUAACUGAAUCCAUAGGUUAAUGAGGCGAACCGGGGGAACUGAAACAUCUAAGUACCCCGAGGAAAAGAAAUCAACCGAGAUUCCCCCAGUAGCGGCGAGCGAACGGGGAGCAGCCCAGAGCCUGAAUCAGUGUGUGUGUUAGUGGAAGCGUCUGGAAAGGCGCGCGAUACAGGGUGACAGCCCCGUACACAAAAAUGCACAUGCUGUGAGCUCGAUGAGUAGGGCGGGACACGUGGUAUCCUGUCUGAAUAUGGGGGGACCAUCCUCCAAGGCUAAAUACUCCUGACUGACCGAUAGUGAACCAGUACCGUGAGGGAAAGGCGAAAAGAACCCCGGCGAGGGGAGUGAAAAAGAACCUGAAACCGUGUACGUACAAGCAGUGGGAGCCUCUUUAUGGGGUGACUGCGUACCUUUUGUAUAAUGGGUCAGCGACUUAUAUUCUGUAGCAAGGUUAACCGAAUAGGGGAGCCGAAGGGAAACCGAGUCUUAACUGGGCGUUAAGUUGCAGGGUAUAGACCCGAAACCCGGUGAUCUAGCCAUGGGCAGGUUGAAGGUUGGGUAACACUAACUGGAGGACCGAACCGACUAAUGUUGAAAAAUUAGCGGAUGACUUGUGGCUGGGGGUGAAAGGCCAAUCAAACCGGGAGAUAGCUGGUUCUCCCCGAAAGCUAUUUAGGUAGCGCCUCGUGAAUUCAUCUCCGGGGGUAGAGCACUGUUUCGGCAAGGGGGUCAUCCCGACUUACCAACCCGAUGCAAACUGCGAAUACCGGAGAAUGUUAUCACGGGAGACACACGGCGGGUGCUAACGUCCGUCGUGAAGAGGGAAACAACCCAGACCGCCAGCUAAGGUCCCAAAGUCAUGGUUAAGUGGGAAACGAUGUGGGAAGGCCCAGACAGCCAGGAUGUUGGCUUAGAAGCAGCCAUCAUUUAAAGAAAGCGUAAUAGCUCACUGGUCGAGUCGGCCUGCGCGGAAGAUGUAACGGGGCUAAACCAUGCACCGAAGCUGCGGCAGCGACGCUUAUGCGUUGUUGGGUAGGGGAGCGUUCUGUAAGCCUGCGAAGGUGUACUGUGAGGUAUGCUGGAGGUAUCAGAAGUGCGAAUGCUGACAUAAGUAACGAUAAAGCGGGUGAAAAGCCCGCUCGCCGGAAGACCAAGGGUUCCUGUCCAACGUUAAUCGGGGCAGGGUGAGUCGACCCCUAAGGCGAGGCCGAAAGGCGUAGUCGAUGGGAAACAGGUUAAUAUUCCUGUACUUGGUGUUACUGCGAAGGGGGGACGGAGAAGGCUAUGUUGGCCGGGCGACGGUUGUCCCGGUUUAAGCGUGUAGGCU
rnacentral:rRNA from 1 species